rnacentral:tRNA from 1 species
GGAGAGAUGACCGAGAGGCCGAAGGUGCUCCCCUGCUAAGGGAGUAUACGGGUGACCGUAUCGAGGGUUCGAAUCCCUCUCUCUCCG